GUCGAGUGGGCGAAUGGCUAAGCCGCCAGGCUUUCAAUCUGGAAAUUGCGGGUUCGAAUCCCGCACUCGAUA
rnacentral:tRNA from 1 species